rnacentral:rRNA from 1 species
UACGUAGGGGGCAAGCGUUGUCCGGAAUCAUUGGGCGUAAAGCGCGUGUAGGCGGCUCGAUAAGUCUGCUGUGAAAGUUCAGGGCUCAACCCUGAAAUGCCGGUGGAAACUGUCGAGCUAGAGUCCGGAAGAGGCGAGUGGAAUUCCUGGUGUAGCGGUGAAAUGCGCAGAUAUCAGGAAGAACACCUAUGGCGAAGGCAGCUCUCUGGGACGGUACUGACGCUGAGACGCGAAAGCGUGGGGAGCGAACAGG